rnacentral:lncRNA from 12 species
GCUCGACAUGGAGACCCCCACGGGAGCAAGAGGUGGGUGCAGAGUGGUGGAGAGAGGUGGCCAAGGGAAGAGGUCCGGUUAGCGGGCCCAGGGCGGCCCACCAGGCCCACCCUCUCUGGCAAGGUGCCCAGAGAGCAACGGAGAGUCUGCAGACUCCGGGAGGCCCAGCCGGGCUGGAGUCCUGAGGUGACCUGGUGGGGCGAGGGGGCCACUGGAGUGGGCCCUGGGGACCAGGACCAGUGAGCACGGCACAUCACUCAAGGACCAGCAGACGCCAAAGCAGGAUGCCCAGAGUCCCAAUGGCAGUGCUACUCCUCAGGAGGCACAGAGGGCCCAGGGGGCAGCUGAGUGACAAGAGCUCAAGGUUUUUCAAGAAGCCAGCGUGAGCAGCUUGGAUUCCAAAGCCGAGACAGAAGUGAGUGGCAGGACUUUCAGGGGGAGGGGGCCAGAGAGCGGCUUCUGCUGGGUGCUUCUCCACUUUACCAGGGCUUCCACUCGCUGGCAGUAUUUACUAGAAAACAAGACCCAUUUUGUGAGUCCUUCCCUGGAUAAAGCACAGAGCAGCCCCCUUCCCACCCCGCCCCACCGCCUGCAUCCACUGCAGCUGUUUUGUUCUUUAAAUAUAUUAUCACUUUUAAAAACUGAUGGUAAAGGAACAAAUAUAUUCAUUUUUCAGCCCAACGAGGCUGCAGGAAAAAGCAGGUUCUGCUGCCGAGGAACAACAUGGCUUAAUGUUUUUCAAAACACCACCCAGCUCUCUGCCUCCCUUCUUUUAAUGGUAUUCAUUUUCCUUCUUAGAAAAGGGGUUAAAAUUAGUAGGCACAUUUCAUAUUAGCGUAUUUCAUGCAAUAAAGCAUAAAUUAUUUAAAAUAACA